rnacentral:lncRNA from 1 species
UUCUAAAAUUAAUAAAAAUUUUUAUAUUUGUUAUUGACUGUUGUGGUGACAGUGGUAGUUAUCAGGGUGUUAGGGUAGUGCUACAUUUUAACCCUCAACUAUCAUCAUUUUGCAAAUAUUACCACUCAAGUUUUUUUCUAGUAAAAUGGCAUCUUACCAUUUUAUUUUUUGCAAAAUGACGUUUUGUUAUCAACAUGUUGGUAAAAUGUGGAAAGCAUGAUAUAACAAAGUGUGUGGAAAAAAACUUUAGAGGUAACUGUGUAAAAUGAAAAACUUAAUGGUAAAAUGAGCAAAAGUAAUACUUGGGAGUUCAAAUUUGUAAAAUGAUAAUUACUGAAUGGUAAAAUGUGGAUUUAAGCCUUUAUAUUAUUGUCUUGUGUCAUAAACGAAUAUUGUUUAAGGAUUAAAGCUGUUAGGUUAAUAGAACUGUGUAUUAAACUAUUGUUUUUCUAUUGCACAAAGCUUCAUUUAUGAGGGGGCUCCCAAAAUUCCUGAAGCAGAAACACCAUUCAAACACAUAUUGUAGAAUUUUGAAUUUGGAUUCUCUUCUGGGUUUUUCUGUAUUGUUCCUCUGCUGUGCUUCAAAAUAUACCGCUGGGCACUGAUUUUGAUGUCUCUAGAUAUAUUAAAAAGUUUUUUAAAGCACUAACAUCAAUGUAUUUUAAUGCUCAGCAGAGGACUGCACCAAAAAACCCAGCAGAGAAUCUAGAAUUUUGCAUAGACAUUUAUGUUUAUUGACAGUUGCUAAACUUUACCAGGGACAGGACUUUCCAAAAGGGAUGCUGCAGAGCUAAGGGAGAGAUGUCUUUCCUUUCUUUUACAAAAGCUAAGGGUAUGUUUCCCCCCUUGUUAUUCGUCAUUUUACAAUGAAAAUGAGAGCAUUUGAUGUUUAUUACUAUUCGAAAUAGCUUAGUGUACGGGUCAGCUUUUUAUAAUGUUCUACAAAAGCCAAGAGUAUGUGUCGGCCUUGUACAAUGUUUUAUCAUAAUUUCGCUUGAAAUUGAAUAACAUAACAUUAUCCAGCUACCAGUCUUAUGGUUAGAAUAAUUUUGAUUGAAAUAUAGCUAGCCUACCUAAGUAUAGUGGAGAUAGAGAUCAGAUUGUCUAAUAGCUAAGUAGAGUCACUGUAAUCUAUUAGAAUUCAAUUAUGCUCAAAUAUGCAUAGCUAUGAGUAUUUCUAUGACCAGUCCAUAUAAGUAAGUUGAAAGAAAGCUAAUCUGUUACCGCAGCUAUAAAAAAUUAUAAAGUUGCAGAAAAUACAAAAUGGACAUAUAAUGUGCAAGUAUCUGUAACACAUUUGUUUAAAUUUCUUUUAUGAGACAGUCAGUUAUUACCCAGUUUUGUGAAGCUCUUAUGAAUGCUUCUGUAUUUAUUGUGUAAUUUGUUUGUUGAAUGCUUAUAUUUGUAUUUUAAUGUUAGCUCCAAAUGAAAAAAGUUCUAAAUAUUGUCUGGCCUAUUCUAACAGGUUGGUAAAAGUAAUUUAUUAUAUUCAGAACUUUCAAGAAUGGGAAACUACGGUUGGGGUGAAUUUGUGGAUGUGCCACACAGUAAUAAUACGCACCACGAUGAUUUAUUUGGCAUUGAUCCAUUCUAUAUCAAUAAAGGUAACGAUAAUGAGGUGCUGCAAUUCUGUUAUCUGAUUUGGUUUUGUAAAAGUAUUUCUAUAUUUGUAUGCCGUCAUCUAUCAAUUGGGGUUUUUCCACCUGAAAUAGUUGUAAUUUUGUAAAGGAAAAAGUGGUGUUAUGAGCUAAUAAAUAAUUGUCUCUUGUGUUUAUUUUGCACUACUUUGUUUUAUGCAUGUAGGUAUUGGCAUUGUUGAGGAUGGUGGGUUUGAAUUCAUGGCGCCUACUACCCGCAGGAAUGCCUUGAGAGUUUUGCGGGCUAUGCAGCUUCCAAAGCCUGGUAUGUUCGUUCAUUAUUUAAUUAUGUCUGAAAAUUUGAAUUUUGUUUAAUUAUGUCUGAGAUUUCAUAUUUAAAUUACUUAAAUGAUUGUACAUAUGCAGUUUUACUAGAAGGUAGCCCAGGUGUAGGGAAAACUAGUUUAAUCAUUGCCUUGGGUAACUGUUCUGGGCACAAAGUGGUACGAAUAAACUUUUCAGAGCAGGUCAGUAAUUAGCUUGGUUGACACUUAGUUUUUUAUAAUAAUUUGUUCAAUUACAUUUGUCAUAAUAGUUAUUAGUAAGCUUUUCUAUUAUGUAUGUAUUUCUGGUGCAGACUGAUAUGAUGGAUCUGUUAGGGUCUGAUUUACCAGUUGAAAGUGAGGAGGGAAUGAAGUUUUCUUGGUCUGAUGGGAUAUUAUUGCAGGUUGAUUGUCUUAUACUGUAACAUAUCAUGUUCAUCUCUGCUUUUGGUAUGUUUUUAAUUUGUAACCGAAAUUUGCAGGCACUGAAGGAAGGUUGUUGGGUUUUGCUGGACGAACUUAAUCUUGCUCCACAAUCUGUUUUAGAAGUAUUUUACUCAUCAAUCUCAAUCUCCAUUUGUUCCUUUUCUGUACCUUCUUUGCUUUAGCACAUUUUUCUUUGUGACAGGGUUUGAAUGCUAUACUGGACCACAGAGCUGAGGUGUUUAUACCGGAGUUGGGAAAUACUUUUAAAUGUCCACCAUCAUUUAGAGUUUUUGCUUGCCAGAAUCCAUCACAUCAAGGUGGGGGCCGAAAAGGCCUUCCAAAGUCAUUCCUAAAUCGAUUUACAAAGGUAUGCUGAUGGUAUGUUUUCUUGUAUUUAUUUUGGGCCUAUGAAAGUUGAAACAUAGAUAUAUUCAAGCAAGCAAACCUGUGGAAUCUAAAGUCCAAAACCCUCUAUGUAGUACUUUGAUUCAAUUCAUGUAUAACCGAAAGAAACUCUACUUAUGUUUUGUUUUGCUGUGUUUAAUGAAGGUGUCCUGUUUCAGAAUAUUUUUCCUCUUUUCUUAAGUAAUAUUGUCACUCUAAUCUUUUCUUUUUAACUAGAUGCAAGAUUUAUCAAAUCUGUUUUUGGUUGUUGAUACAGGUAUAUGUUGAUGAGUUAGUUCAGGAAGACUACCUAUCCAUCUGCGAAACAAAAUUUCCGACCAUCUCUCAAACAUUACUCUCAAAGUUAGUCUUAUUCAAUAAAAGAAUGCAUGAAGACACUACAGUAAAUCAAAAGUUUGCCAAGGAUGGCUUUCCAUGGGAGUUCAAUCUUCGUGAUAUAUUUCGGUCUUGUGAGAUAAUUCAAGGUUCUAUCAUCCAUAUUCCUUUCACUUCUAAAUUGAAUCUUGUUUUUUUUUCCUUGCCUCUUCUCUUUAUUUGUAGUGUCCCUAAUAGAGUCAUUCCCUUUCCUAUGCUGAUAAUUCCAUAUAUUCAAUUUAGGUGCACCGAAGCACUCUGGAUUGUAUUCCUUCGUGAACACUGUUUAUAUUCAGAGAAUGCGUACAGCAGCUGAUCGCAAGGAAGUCUUACGAGUUUUCAAGGAGGUAUUUGAGGUGACACUGCCUAUAAAUCUAUAUCCCCGUGUUCAACUGAACUCAGAACAUUUAAUUGUGGGCAAUGCUACUAUUAAGAGGAAUCAUGUCCAAUUAACUACACCCUCAAGCAAACAGCUCCUGAUUCUGCCUGAAAUUCGACAGAGUUUGGAAGCUGCUGCUCAAUGUGUAGAGCGUCAAUGGUUAUGCAUCUUGACUGGGCCAUCGUGUUCUGGGAAAACUUCACUGAUAAGAUUACUAGCUAACCUAACAGGAAAUAUGCUGAAUGAAAUUAAUCUUUCAUCUGCAACAGAUAUAUCUGAACUAUUGGGAUCUUUUGAACAGUAUGAUGCCUUGCGUAAUUUUUUCAAUGUAGUUGGUCAAAUUGAGCGCUAUGUUAAUGAGUUCAUUAGUUUGCAACUGGAGGCUUCAAAGGAUGCAAUUUUCAGGGAAACCGAUUUCUAUACCAGAUGGAUUGCUUUCCUCUCUAGCUUUAAAUUUGAGAGCUUGUUAUCUUCUGCUACAAAUUAUCUUGAUGACCAGAAGAAAAUAGUAUGUUCCCUUAGUUUGUUCGUUGAACAACUAAAGUUGCAGAUAGAAAGGAGUUCUCUUCCUCUAUCCUACUCUUUAAAGGAACUUGAUUUUGUAUCGAAGGCAGUUUUAAAGAUGAAAGAUGAUAAAAACAGCGCUGUUUCAACCAAAUUUGUAUGGGUUACAGGACUGUUGAUCAAGGCUAUUGAGCAAGGGGAAUGGAUUGUGUUGGAGAAUGCAAAUCUAUGUAAUCCCACGGUAUAUGAUGCUUUGCGAGUUCAUGCAUUUAAAAGCUUAUUAUGCUUGAAUAAGAUUUUAUUUAAUCCUUGUAUUUCGUAUAAAUGUCUGUGAACUGUGUUAAUGGACUGAUAUCUCUUUGCUCUCUUUUGCUGAAUCUGUUAAUGUCAAACUCGUGUCUCAUUAAACUUCCUCAUCAUCCAUUUUUUCUUUCUAAUCUAUUUAAGUGUCUUGAACUCAGUUCGCAAUAGCUUUCCCCAAAUGAACUAUAAAUUAGAAGCAUAUCUAGAUGAUAUUUUUUCUUGUUUAAUUUUUCUGAAGUUUGGCAGGCAAUAUCUGGAUAGUGCUUUAUUGUCUUUAAUCACCUGAAUUGUUUAAUUUUUCUACUUAAGGUUUGCAGCUGUACAAGUAUGUAAAUUGGUACUAUUUAAUUAUUUUUACUUGUUUUUGUUGCUAGGUCCUUGAUAGAAUUAACUCAUUGGUGGAACCUUGUGGAUCGAUCACGGUGAAUGAGCGUGGAGCUGUUGAUGGAAAGCCAUUGGUUAUUCAUCCACACCCUAAUUUCCGCAUGUUCCUCACAGUGAAUCCGCAGUAUGGUGAAGUUUCUCGAGCAAUGCGUAAUAGGGGAGUUGAAAUAUUUAUGCUCCAGCCAUAUUGGGCAUUAGAUGAUAUGAGUGGAUACAAUGGUGAGGACAUUGAACUNAGAGAUGUCAGGAGGUUUCUUGUUUUAUUGGGUAUUCCGAUUGCUCAAUUGGUUGAUUCAAUGGCUACAGCCCACAUUUAUGCUAAAAAGGAAGGUUNGAAGCUUAAUNAUCGCAUUACAUAUCUUGAACUCUCACAUUGGGUUCAUCUGUUUCUGCAGCUUCUUAGGAAUGGUUGUUGUCCUAUUUGGAGUCUACAAAUAAGUUGGGAGCAUAUAUAUCUCUCCUCAUUGGGUGCUGAGGGAGAGAAAAUAGUCAAUUUAGCCAAAACUGAAUAUUUAUCUGUACCUAAUUUUGUUGGGUAUGACGUUUUGACAGUAUGUCCUCUGAGUUUGCCUGGAGGAUGGCCAUUGCCACCCAGUUUAAGGGAUUUUAUAUAUUACUCAAAAGAAGCUUCUAUCAAACAGAAUUGCAUGUAUCUAGAGUCACUGGGAACUCAAAUUGCAUUUCAUAGGGAGUGUAAAUUUGAUUCAGAGUUGACAAAGAAGAUGCUAUUCUUUUCUGCCAAUUGGGCAAUUGAACAAGCUACCAAAAGUGAUUUAAAGUUCUAUCUUCUAAGGUUUAAGUGGUUCAGUUCUUUCUGCAAGUUCUUUCAUGACUUUGUCAAACUGAUUGAACAGAUGAUGGAACAUCCUAUUUGGGAGUAUAUUUCAUGCCGUGAUGAACUAGAUGUUGAUUUGCAGUUAAUACCAUUGUUGUCACUUGAUAUAGUUAAUUUGGCUCCAUCAAAUAGCAAAACUAAAUAUCUCUGUAAUGCUAUUAUUUGCUUUGAUCCUCUAAGGCUAACAUUCCAGCAACGGAAUAUUGAGAGCCAACAUAGUUUUAAUGAAAAAGCCAGUCGCUUCAUUCCACUUUUGAAGUCCCUUUAUGUUUUGCAAGAUGAAAUACUUUACAAAUUUGUUUCAGCAUCUAAGCUAAUUGAGGACCAGUCUUUUGAUUAUAAAAUACAGUUAUACUGCAGCCUCAUCGAGGACCAUGUUUUAUUUUGGCGAUACUUGGUUUCUUUGAAGUUUGAUCCUUUGAAGUUUGAUCAGUUUGAUCAUUUGGAGUUUGAUCAGUUGAAGUUUGAUCAGAUGAUAAUUUCUUGGCACUCUUUGGUGAAAGGUGCUCAAAAGUUUAUAGAUAUCUGUCCUGAAGCAGUUGAUGAUUUUUUGGUAAGCUAAGAAUUAAGUUUUGUCUAUUUAAUAAGAGAGUGUGCAUAAAGCAUCAGAAUUAAGUUUGUUUGCAUCCUAGAUAUUGAUCAAAUUCUUUUAAGCUUAACAUGCUUUGAAUCUUGGUGAAUGCACCCUUAUUUUCUUCUCACAUAUUUUGUUUAGUGUCACCAAAAUAUCUCUUUCAUGUUUUGUAUUACAUUCAGACUAUCUUUACUUGAACAGAUGGAGAGCAAAAAAUUACUAUCUUUACUUGAACAGAUGGAGAGCAAAAAAUUGAAGUUCUCUUUUUCGGAAGAACCCUUACUAUGGAUUCAUGGUGGUCACCCAUUUUUGCCCUCUUCUUCUGAUUUACACGAUCAACAUCAUCAGAUUUUGAAAUUUGUUGAAACAAUUUGGCCAAGAAAGACAGGACCCAAAUACCAAGGUUAGGAAUUUAAAGUCCUCUUUUGUUAUUUAUUUCUUGGAAAAUUUCAUAUGCCCAAUUCAUGGUCAAGAUAUUCUCAAUUUUGGAACAUUUAACCCUUUAACUUCUUAAAUAGUUAAUCAACUCAGCAAUUGCCUGUAAGUAACCAAUACUUGAGCAUCAUUAACUUGUUAAGUUGUCAAUUAUUCUUAAGAUGGGAAUAUUUUUCCAAGAUUUUUUUUUAUUUUCUUUGCAUUUUAUACAUCUUAUUUUUUUUAUAUGUUCGUUCAUUCUUAAUUUUCUAUUCAGAACAUUCAGGAAAUUUGAGCAGGCAUCUUGUUGAUGUUGUUGCAUCAUUUGAUCAUGAUCUCCGCAUCCUCAUUAUGCAAGGUAUAUUAUCGAGAUCUUUCUUUCCCCUAUAACAUUUUUUAUAGAAAAUUGGGAAUCAAAUGUUAUCCUUUGGUCUUAUUUCCCUAUAUAACUUAAAGAUAGGCCAGUUUCAGUUGCAUUUAUCUUGUGAAAUAAAUUUCUUUGGGAAUGAGAAACUUUCUAUUGGUGUAUAUAUAUGUUUGCAUGAUUGAUGUUUAGUCCCUUUUCUUGCAAGAGUAAGACUGGUCACAUUACCCUCUAUAAACCUCACUAGGUUGGAGCUUUUUGUGCUUGGCCAUGGCCUCUUUCCUUGCAAUAAUACUUGAACUGGUGUUUUUUUGCUUGUGAUGUCUUCUAAAGUUUACUAUAUUGAUUAUGAUAUUGAUCUUGAAAAAUGGCUUUUUUUUUUCAUUCCUUCCUAAUCAAUGUGGACAACACUUAUUUACUUUGUUUUAAACGGUACUGGAUCCAUUUUUAUUUAUAUUUUAUUUGUUCAUACUAGAAAUGGUUAUUUUGGCUCCUUAUAAUAUUCUUUUUUUUUCUCCUCGCCCUUGUGUUUUUAAACAAUGGUUUAAAACUUUAUUAGUUUUUUUUUUCCUGUACUACCCUUAUAUUUUCCAGCUUUUCCUUUUAGGUUAGUUUUUUUAUAAUUUGCUCUUUUCAUAACAAAUUUGAUGUUUCUAGGCCUUCAGUUUUUUUUUUUUUUUUGCUUUUAAUCCUGCAUAAUGAAAGUCAAAAUACGAUUAUUUCAGGUUUUAUUGCUUGUUGAGGGCAAUGAUUGUAAUCGUAUUUACUAUUGUUUAUGAGGCUUUUUGGUGUAUACUUAUUAUUUCUCUCUUUAUUUUAUAAUUGUAUAGAUGUGUCAAACUCAUCAUUCUUAAUGGUGAAAUGGAGUCAUGAGGAUGGUAUCCAUAAUUUUCAGAAGUUGGAGAAGACGCAUCAGGUCUGUACCUUUCAUGAUGGUAUUGAUAUCUAUAAUGCCCAAGUUAACAUUUGAUUGUUAAAAUUGUCCCACAGGUGCUGCUAAGAAGGUUUGAACAUGAAAAACAGAAGUUGCAGUUGAAUUCAGGAUCCAAAGACAGUUCAUCUUUUGUUGAAUAUUCAACUGCUUGUUGUUCAUUCUCACGUGAAAUGUUGUGCCAAAAGUCUGCAUUUGAGGCCUGGCAGGAUACGUUCCCUCCAGUUGAUUAUGCCAGUUUAUUUUGGGACAUGGAGUUACUGCAGAAACUUACAUCAAUUCAUUUGGAUGAUCUUGAAGGAUUGCACCAAGUAAUAUCGAUCAUACUUAUUUAUUCAUUGACGUAAUUUGGAUAUACAUUCGUAUGGUUGCCUGGCUGUUCAUGUUUGAUCCUUACUCAAGCUUUCCUCUUAUGAAUUGAGUUAUUGUUAACAAAAUUUUCUUUAUAAUAUUGAAAAAAAAAGUUUCUUUGUAAUAGACUAGUGAGACUCUUGUGCUCAAUAAUUUCAUGGAUAAGGAAAUACAUCUGGUUGAGUAGGUGAACCAUGAAACUAAGUGGUCAUAAAUAUAUACUAGGAGAAAAGGUGGGAUUUGUGACAGCAUCCUGGGGGUAGUAGGAGUCUGUUAUGGUGAGUGGGUAAGGUGUGUGUAUGGAGGGGGGAGGCGGUGGACAAUCACUCAAUUAAGUUAUUGUGAUUGGCUAGGAACAGCGAGUUCCUUAUGUAUUUCCUGAUAAUUCCAUUUAUACCCUGGACAUCUAAUUUCAUNCUAUGNUGAAAUUANUACAUUGUUUAAUACCUACUAUUUGNGUUCUGUUUCUAUCAAUAGCUGAGGGUUNCUACCCNUNUUAUAUUAUGCCACNCAUAAUCUGGAAACUUAANUGCCAUGUUUCUUUGAUUCUGUUAAUAGGCUGUGNGAUNUCUAUCAGACCUUUUGGACUNUGCUUUGNAGUUUUCNUUGAGUUUCUCAUCAAGGCCUCCACAAAUGUUUGUGCCACACCAGAAGAUAUUGUGGACCCUUAAUGCAUGGGCUUCAGUGGAUGCAGGUUGGUGUAAGGACUUGAACGAGUCCAAUGUUUCCUUUUCCUUUUUGUUGACUAGUAUGCUAACACUAAAAUUCGAACUUAUUUCUCUGUUUCUGCCUUUUGGGGUACAGUGAAUUUGAAAAUUGCAAGUUUUAUUCUGGAGAUGUGGUUUAAGUGGCAUGAAACUGUGUGGGUAUGGUUCCCUAAAUUUAAUAAGGUAUGCAGUAAGUUAGAAAAUUGUAGGCUUUCAUAUUUAGUUUUUCCUAUUAAUAUGCCUUUUGACUUUUUUUUAUGAUAUUUUUCUGUACACAGAACUUUGUGAAGAUUGAUGGCUUUGGUACAACUGCACUUCCCCACAUGCUCAUUGAGCCUUCCAGUGCAUCAACUGUGUUGCAGAUCACGUGAGUUAAUUGUAUAAUUUCAGCACUAUAUUUUUGUCAUGUGCUAUUGAUUUUUUGAGUGGAGCUUCCAAUAAACCAAGGUUGUUAGUCGUUACUGAAGUCAAUAUUGGGGCUUUGUCACCCGUAAGCUAUCAUGUUGUAUAUUGUUUGUUACUAUAUACAUGACACGGGGAAGAAACUUCUGCCUGAAAUCUUGAACUUUAAAGUAUGUAUAUCAUAAUCUCCAAACACACAAUUCCUGAAAAUUAGGGUAAGAGGAAAAUAUAUCAUUACCUGGUAAGGAUUGCAACCUGUGUAGUGAUGCAGUAUCGUUCUUUCUAUUUAUUAAAAAGAUUUCAAAUAAUAGAACAUACAUAAUGAGUCCUUAUUUAUGCUGCCCCUUAAUAUUCUUCCAUUUUUUUUUAUAUUUCCACUUUAAAAGCAAUGUGGUUGAUUUUCUCGUUUGUGUUAAAGUUAGUUUUAUCCUAUGUAUUUGACUACUAUUAUUUCUCUCAUUUAUAACUAGUCUGUAAAAUAUUUAAGAAUUGGAUAGAUAUAUUUUGACAUCUACGCAGGUAGCAGAUAGUUAUAUGUUUUGCAUCUUAGUAUUUUGUAGUUGCUUUGUUGUAUAUGACUAUUUGUUAACUAAUGUGAAUAAAUAUUGAACAUCUUGUUACUGAAAGUCUAACCCUUUGGAUAAUAUUUUCAGGCAAAGCACACAUGCUAUCAAGGAAUCUUGGGUGCAAUGUCUCAAGUGUAGAGUUACCUUGUUCAAUCUGUGGCAUUGUUCUCAUCAUGGAACACAUCUACCUAAAUUUCUUUUAUCUGCUGCUCGCUCUCUUUUCCAGCAGGUAAAANUAUUNUUUUCNUUCCAUUUAAAAGUCACUUGAGUCUAAAUUAUUAUACUGAUUCAUGCCUAUGGUAUGCUUAAGUGCAGAUUAUUUAUGCUCACAGAAAAUCAUUUGAUGCUGAUCAGUUUGCUAGAAUUAAAUCUACUUUUUCUUCUUCUGAGAAGAAUUCACUCACGGUAUGCUUUAGACUUCUCAUAAGUAUAUUAUACCUGUAUUUAAAAAGUCUGUGAACACUAAUUAUAGUUGAUUAAGAAAUGCAUAAUAAUUAUAUGUAAAUUUUUCCCCUUUCUGUGUGUAUUUAUGAAUGUAAAAUUAUUCCCAAAGUGUUUGGCUGAAUUAUGAAAGAGAACCUUCAUCAACAAUUAAUAGUUGCUAUGUUUUACGGAUUCUGUUUAAAUGGUUAUAAUUCCCAAACAUCAGUUUUCUUAUUCUCAUUCCCGUGUUAACUGAAUCUAGGAAGAAAGCAUCUAUAUUCUGAGCUCUCUUGUUGCUUCAUCAAGACAUCAAAGGUUAGAAAAAUCCGUUCAGAAGUUCAUUGUUCCACUGCUUAGAGAGCUGUAUCUUCAGACUAAUGCUGCCGGUAAAUCUGCUAAUUUUUCUGCACUUUAAUAAACAUGUAUAAUAAUUGACUGUUAUUUUAAUAUGGCCAUAAAAGCUAAGUAAAAUUAUAAAAAUCCUNUUAAUACGGUAUUCUGUUAGAUUGUAAAUUCUUAUUAUAACUGUGACCUGGGAGCAUUAGUUACCUAUUAUAUAUGUAUCUUUAUUCUUCAUGUUUAGAAUGUUCUCUCUUAUAUUUAUAUAUCUCUUUUUUAAUUGUUUUAGAUUUCAACUUUACUAUUGGUUGUGCAUGGGCGCAUAUUGGAGCAUUGCGCAUUCACCUAUUGCUUAGCUGUAGUGAAAUUGAUCCCACCAUGAAGUACUAUUGCAAGUACUCUCAGCUCAUGGAAACAAUAUCAACACUUGAACUUGAAAUUUAGGUAUUCUAUAAAGAUCUUUAAAUCAGUUGCUUGCCUUUGUUUUCUUGUGUUUUGAACAAUUCUUUGCUUAUUUUAUUUCUUCUAGUACUUGUUUGAUGAUUUAUACCAUGGGUGAAUUAUUUUCUACUUACUAAAUUCAUUUAGGUGCGGAAAGAGUGUGGUUAUUUUGCUGGGCAGUUUUUAACACACGAGUCUGACAAAAGAAAAACACAAAGGUUGGAACAGCUUCAGGCAGAGCGUCAGAUGUUGGAAAAAAAGGUUUCUAGAUCCUAAUGUUUUAUUCUGCUUCUUGUUGGUUAUAUUUUUUUUUUUUUCAUGUUUUAUAUGUAAUUAUUGGCUUGCAUGAUUACCAUUUAUGGAUUUGGUGCCGAAGGCUGCAAAGUCAUUUUUGUUAGUUUUCUGUUUCNNNNNNNNNNNNNNNNNNNNNNNNNNNNNNNNNNNNNNNNNNNNNNNNNNNNNNNNNNNNNNNNNNNNNNNNNNNNNNNNNNNNNNNNNNNNNNNNNNNNNNNNNNNNNNNNNNNNNNNNNNNNNNNNNNNNNNNNNNNNNNNNNNNNNNNNNNNNNNNNNNNNNNNNNNNNNNNNNNNNNNNNNNNNNNNNNNNNNNNNNNNNNNNNNNNNNNNNNNNNNNNNNNNNNNNNNNNNNNNNNNNNNNNNNNNNNNNNNNNNNNNNNNNNNNNNNNNNNNNNNNNNNNNNNNNNNNNNNNNNNNNNNNNNNNNNNNNNNNNNNNNNNNNNNNAUCUGAUAAACCUCGCAGUGCAUGCUGGUCCUAUCAUCUGUAUUUCAUUAUCUUUUUCAACUGUAUAUUAACACCCAGUCCCCUCCUUCUGUUUCUAUUUGCUAAUUUAGAAAGUAAUUUACAUUUGAUCUCUAUCUGUAUUUUGCUGCUCUCAUCCUUUCAAGUGAAUGAUGAAAAUUGAUGACGGUUGUGUUGGCUUUAGAUUGUGUUUCGCGCUGAACCAUUGAAAUACAAGAAGUUAAUGAAGGAAUGUGAUGACUUUCUUAAACAAGUUGAUGGUUUGGAAGCUUUGCUGAGUAGGGGUACUGCUCAGGACUUACAACAGAUUGUUGACCAUGCUUGUGGCUGGCAGGUAUUACUGCUCAUCUAUGUAUGAAUAAAAGGGGAACACAUUUUGAUGACAUAUUUAUGCACUGUAUAUAACAUUGGCGUAAAUGUUGCAAUGCUUAGAGUGCUUUUGUUCUUGUCAAAAUUUUGAAUAAUUUAAUUAAUGCUAAAUGCAUAUUGUAGUUUCAAAGAUUUUUUUUUAGAAUGUAUUAAUAAUACUAGAGAACCAACUACAAGGAUAGUGAUAAUAUAUUUUCAUUAAAAAGGGCAGAUUAAAUUAACAGAACAAUCUAGAGAAGUUAGUUAACUAAGCAAAUCUUACUCAUCUCUCCUUACCUNACUAAAAGAACCCCUGUGAAGUAACCUUUUCUAGGCCCCAAGGAGUCUAAGAGAACUUCUGUAAUGGAUUGACCAUGGUAGCAUAUAGAUUUGUUGGAUUAGUUCUAGAGAAAUCUAUAGUCCAUGUCCUAUUGCUUGGUUUUGAAUAAUAUGUUGCAGUGGAAAUUAAGUGUAGGAUUUUUCAGUAGGGACUCAUUCUGAAGAUUCAACAACAAUGAGAUAUGAACUAAACACAAAGGAUUAUGAAUCCAUUUCUAACUCAACUUUAAAACAAUAAUUUUAUGAGUCAAAUUCCUUAUUUGUUGUUUGACUUUUUCAUUUUUAUCCAAUAGACUUAACUUAGACUUGGACUCACACACACACAUAUAUAGGAUUGUAAGUCGUUCAUAGACUUGGUGAUGACUUUUUCGUUGGCAUAGGUUGAGAGAGAAAUUUAGGUGGCACCUAUAUAGGAUAGAACUUAUGGUAGAAGUUUUCUUAGAUGGUCUGCUCAUCCACUGCAAAGACUUAUAGAAGGUUUGCUAAGCACAGGAAUCCCUGGUUACUGGAGGUAGGAUGAUCUUACCAUUUAGAGGUAGAUUCUUCUUAUACUGUAUAGGAGUGAUUUAGGACACAACAUUAUGCACUGUCUUAGGUAUUUAUUAUGUAUUUUUCGAAAUGGUGAGUGUUAAAGUGAAAAGUACAAACAAGGCAUGAACCCGACACGCUUAUACUAAAAUGUGAUUUAUGAAACAUCCAUGAAUUUAGAAGAAACCAAGUGAAUUAAGAUGUACUUUGCCUGCAGGUAUUGUACCACCUUUUUUCUUUUACUCUGCAUUUGUGCUAAGAUUAUCUGACAUUCUAAAAUUUUAAUUGAGGGAACAACUAUGCUCAACUGUUACCUGUAUUUGGUAAUGUUCCUGAAGUUUAUAGAUAGUUUAGCUACCUAUGGUGUUAGAAUUUUAAUUUUUACUUGAUGGGAUGUGUACCUCCUUGUAUUGUCUCUUAAUUUUCUGGAGAUAGAUGUGGUCUCCCACAUUUCAGAUUCUUUUAGUGGGCUUUGAUUUGGUCACCCUACCUCUGAAUUUUUUUUCUUCUAUUAAUUGUAUUAAGAAUGCUGCAUGCAGCCUGUAUAGUGAUGCAUUAACAUUCUUUCCUUUUGAAUUAAAAAAAGCAGCCCCUGUUUUUUGAUUGGUAUGAAAACAUGAAACUGCAGACCUCCCAAUUACUUUGAUCCCUUGAACUACUUAUUGUUUGGAAGUGAAGAAAGGUCUCUCUAGAUAAAAAUUUAUCAGAAUGAUUUGAUCCUUUCUAAAAUAAAAGAUACUCCUUUUCCAUUGGCUAAUAUGGAAAUUACAAAAUCAUGGUUUUUGUUGAACUCAUUACCCUUCUCUCAUACUCUUCUUUCUGAUUUUGAAUUGCAGGAAACAACUACAUGUUUUAUUGAUCGAUUAAUGGAUGAGUAUGCUGCAUAUAGUGACAUUAUUCAACCAAUUCAGGUUGCUGUGUAUGAGAUGAAAUUGGGAUUAUCACUGGUUCUGUCAAGUAUCCUGGAAAAGAAAUGUUUGAAUAAACUUGGGGUGGAAAACAUCAACAUGGUUACGGUAUGCUAUUUCAUGAGUUUUGGUUUGCUGGGAUUUUCUUUAUAUUUGUUUGGGAACUAACAUGAUGAGCAUGACAGGAAAUGAUGUACAUACUUAUGCGCUUCCCUCGGUCUGCUUCGUAUAAGUUCAUUUCUGUUAAGCAUGACAUUGAGUUGAACUUGCACCCUGCAUACAGUUUUGACUCUUGUUUGGUAGAUAUGGAUUUGAUGGAAAGGCUUGUUACACUUUCAAGUGGUGUUGCUGGUGAUGAGAUGGUAUAUAUACUGUUGAAUUAAGUUCCAAAUUCUAAUUCUAAAUGAAAUUUUGAAUGGUGUGAUUUCAGAAUUUAUUAGUUUAUUUUAUGGUUUGUAUCUGAAUCUUUACAAACAGGUAUCUGCGGUGCAAAAUGGAGCUGCUAUCUAUUGGAGUUUUUUUGUUCAAAUUGCACAUCGUAUUGCUAAUGCUAAAAUAAUUGAUGAUAAAUCUUACAUGGUCAGUUUCUUUAUUUGGGUUUUUCUGUUAACAAAUUCAUUUAUAUUUGCUUAAGAUAUUCUAUAUUUUCUGUUGUUUGGGUUUCUCUGUUAACAAAUUCAUUUAUAUUUGCUUAAAACAUUCUAUUUUUUCAGUUCUUGCAAAAGAUAUUUUACGAGUUCACCACACUUUGGUUUGAUACAAAAGCUUACACAAACUCAAAGAGUGAUUUUGAUGCUCAACCGUACACGUUUAGACCUCGAGCUUUUCAAAUUGAGAGUAUUAUUGAUGUUGAAAUGCCA